UGUAGUACUUGAACGCUGAAGUGGCCCUCCUACAAGAUGACAGUAUGAGCAGUGGCCCCCGGUGAUUCGGAGUUUGGGACCCCUGCUGUAGAUCAACAGAUGUAUCUGCCCGUGGCUCCGGUAAGAACAGCAUUAAGAAUAAGAAUGAACGUGUUCACCAUGACGUGAGCGUUUAAGUAUUGAAGUCCAGGGGGCGAAACGCAGACUUCAUCGUGUUCAAUCACAUUCCAUUUUUUUCCUCCUCAGAGCAGCUGAGGUCAUGGUGCGUACACUAAACAGAGUUUUCAAAGCUUUCAGUCCUGGCAGUGUUAAGAGGAAGAGAGGGCAGUUCAAGACGAAGCAAAACAUCAUUUAAGUCACCGGAUAAUCAUCAGACUUGUCUCGAAUAAACUUCAAAA